UUUUGAUUGCUGUGCUGGUGCCGCCGCCGUAGUAUUUCACCUUUCCGGUUUGUGGAACUUCUAUGUGCACGUGUACAAGAAACAAUUUUUGUUUUUUCCCAAUCAUUGUUUAAUUAUUAUUCUAAAAGUGGAUUGACAUACUCCAUAGUGUAUUCAGUGGAUUAAAACUACUCGUGUGGCUGUGGAUUUCAAAAUGGUGGGAUCUCGCGUCUACGUAGGAGGACUGCCGUUUGGUGUCAGAGAUAGAGACUUGGAAAAAUUUUUCAAAGGUUUCGGAAGGAUCAGAGAUAUUCUCAUCAAGAAUGGCUAUGGUUUUGUGGAAUUUGAAGAUUACAGAGAUGCCGAUGAUGCUGUGUAUGAAUUAAAUGGCAAGGAACUACUCGGGGAAAGGGUGGUGGUGGAGCCGGCGAGAGGCAUCGACCGCAGCGCCGACCGUUACCGCCGCGACCGCUACUACGAACGCGACCGCGGCAGGUCGCGAUACGAUGACUACAAUUAUAGAUACGGGCCGCCCACGCGCACCGAGUAUCGACUUAUCGUCGAAAAUCUGUCUAGCCGCAUUAGCUGGCAGGUAAGAAACUGACUGGAACAACAUUGGGUACAUCAUCAUCCCAUCAACAAUCACCCAGGGUACCGGACACGAACAUCGCGCUUACAUUCGGGCUGGGCGGAGCAUCACCUUCCACCAGGGUACGGUCGGUUCAGGGAGUCUGAUGUCAGGAUGCUUUGCGGUCGAACGGACGAACGUUUGUGCAAUUCAUGGGUCGAAGAAGAUGGUAGAAGAAUAAUACAAAUGGAGACAUGAGAAUGGAACGAUGACAUUCGGAGAACUGGUCAGAACUUGCGAGAAUUCCUUCCUGAUUUGGUUGAACCAACAAGAGCACCAUUAUGAGAGUUGGAAAUAUCGAGCUGGCACUACUCACGCUACAUACGAAGACGGGACUUUGCGUCAAGGACCAAGGACUCGAGAAGGCCCCAGGCGACUCACUCGUUCACUUACUAAUAAACACCACAGCAGUCAUUUUCCAAAUAAGGUGGCGUUUCGUGCCCUGAGCCCUCGAUGUAGCGCAGUGUGAGAUGUGGUCUGAGGCGAUGUUAGGAGGUAUGGGUCCCGCCGCAGCCUGCAGCCGCAGCUGGUGCCGCCGCCGCCUGCCCCCCUCGCCCCCCUCGCCAG
rnacentral:misc_RNA from 1 species